rnacentral:hammerhead_ribozyme from 1 species
AUCCAGCUGACGAGUCCCAAGUAGAACGAAACUCGCGUUCUGGAU